rnacentral:rRNA from 1 species
GCUGUGAAGAUGCAGUGUACCCGCGGCAAGACGGAAAGACCCCGUGAACCUUUACUAUAGCUUGACACUGAACAUUGAGCCUUGAUGUGUAGGAUAGGUGGGAGGCUUUGAAGUGUGGACGCCAGUCUGCAUGGAGCCGACCUUGAAAUACCACCCUUUAAUGUUUGAUGUUCUAACGUUGGCCCGUAAUCCGGGUUGCGGACAGUGUCUGGUGGGUAGUUUGACUGGGGCGGUCUCCUCCUAAAGAGUAACGGAGGAGCACGAAGGUUGGCUAAUCCUGGUCGGACAUCAGGAGGUUAGUGCAAUGGCAUAAGCCAGCUUGACUGCGAGCGUGACGGCGCGAGCAGGUGCGAAAGCAGGUCAUAGUGAUCCGGUGGUUCUGAAUGGAAGGGCCAUCGCUCAACGGAUAAAAGGUACUCCGGGGAUAACAGGCUGAUACCGCCCAAGAGUUCAUAUCGACGGCGGUGUUUGGCACCUCGAUGUCGGCUCAUCACAUCCUGGGGCUGAAGUAGGUCCCAAGGGUAUGGCUGUUCGCCAUUUAAAGUGGUACGCGAGCUGGGUUUAGAACGUCGUGAGACAGUUCGGUCCCUAUCUGCCGUGGGCGCUGGAGAACUGAGGGGGGCUGCUCCUAGUACGAGAGGACCGGAGUGGACGCAUCACUGGUGUUCGGGUUGUCAUGCCAAUGGCACUGCCCGGUAGCUAAAUGCGGAAGAGAUAAGUGCUGAAAGCAUCUAAGCACGAAACUUGCCCCGAGAUGAGUUCUCCCUGACUCCUUGAGAGUCCUGAAGGAACGUUGAAGACGACGACGUUGAUAGGCCGGGUGUGUAAGCGCAGCGAUGCGUUGAGCUAACCGGUACUAAUGAACCGUGAGGCUUAACCUUACAACGCCGAAG